rnacentral:rRNA from 1 species
GACGGGACCGCACAAGCGGUGGAUGAUGUGGAUUAAUUCGAUGCAACGCGAAAACCUUACCUACCUUGACAAGUCCGGAAUCCUGCAGAGAUGCGGGAGUGCCGAAAGGGAAUCGGAACACAGGUGCUGCAUGGCUGUCGUCAGCUCGUGUCGUGAGAUGUUGGGUUAAGUCCCGCAACGAGCGCAACCCUUAUCAUUAGUUGCUACGCAAGGGCACUCUAAUGAGACUGCCGGUGACAAACCGGAGGAAGGUGGGGAUGACGUCAAGUCCUCAUGGCCCUUAUGGGUAGGGCUUCACACGUCAUACAAUGGUCGGUACAGAGGGUUGCCAAGCCGCGAGGUGGAGCCAAUCCCAGAAAGCCGAUCGUAGUCCGGAUUGUUCUCUGCAACUCGAGAGCAUGAAGUCGGAAUCGCUAGUAAUCGCGGAUCAGCAUGUCGCGGUGAAUACGUUCCCGGGUCUU